GAUGAACGCUGGCGGCGUGCCUAAUACAUGCAAGUCGAGCGAACAGACGAGGAGCUUGCUCCUCUGACGUUAGCGGCGGACGGGAGAGUAACACGUGGAUAACCUACCUAUAAGACUGGGAUAACUUCGGGAAACCGGAGCUAAUACCGGAUAAUAUAUUGAACCGCAUGGUUCAAUAGUGAAAGACGGUUUUGCUGUCACUUAUAGAUGGAUCCGCGCCGCAUUAGCUAGUUGGUAAGGUAACGGCUUACCAAGGCAACGAUGCGUAGCCGACCUGAGAGGGUGAUCGGCCACACUGGAACUGAGACACGGUCCAGACUCCUACGGGAGGCAGCAGUAGGGAAUCUUCCGCAAUGGGCGAAAGCCUGACGGAGCAACGCCGCGUGAGUGAUGAAGGUCUUCGGUUCGUAAAACUCUGUUAUUAGGGAAGAACAAAUGUGUAAGUAACUAUGCACGUCUUGACGGUACCUAAUCAGAAAGCCACGGCUAACUACGUG
rnacentral:rRNA from 1 species